UUUAAGACGUCAUGCACGGAUCUAACUGUUACACAUAAGUUUUGUUUCUCAACUGUUUACAUUCUCUUAAUAUCAUAACCGACAAUGCUUAGUAUAAAUCGACUGUUUACGUGAAAACGUGAUUUUGUAUGCAUUUGGCCGUUUACACACGUUUACAUAAGGUGCAACACAACUUAAUUAACCCGCCCAAUCUGGCAACACUGCUCUAGUAUGGUAUAUAUUAUGGGGAACGUACCGCUUGUCACCACAGCUCGGAGACGGAGAGUUGUGUGUCAAGCCUGAAGAGUUUCGCUCCUCCUUCCUUAAACUCUGGAGGUGUUGCGCUCCUGCCAUUCAGUAAAAACACCAUCGUGCUCCUGAAGUUCAGACGUCUGGCUGGACGCAACCUGUACGGAUCAGCAGUGCGCUGUAUAGUGAUGUGUGUCAAAGCUUUCCUUCAGGAGAAAUGAUUCCUGCUUAGGGAAUGACCCUACAAGAGUUUUGAAAGGCAUUGUUUUAUGACGUGGUCUCUUGUGGAUAUAACAACACGCUUGCUUCACGUUUCGUAUUUUUACAGUCAGACUUCGAGAUCAGCUGGCAGGCUGCCAGUCAUCGUUCGGGAGAGGCAAACACAGAGGGGGCACUUAGGCUACGAAGGAGGGAUGAGCGUAUGAGAAAAGCAAAGACAGAGAUAUAGAAGGAGAGCAAGCACAAAACACAGGCAAACAUCCCUGAUUCGGUGUCUCAGCAAUUUAAUUAAAGGGACUAGUGGGAUGUUAAAGUGGGCAUUCAGAGGUGAAGUCUUAACCCCCCCACCCCACCCCCCACCCACCGACCAGGCAUGGACUAAUCCCAAGGGCCAGCUAAUAAGUGCUUGGGUCAUGCCACCAUGACAACUAAAAUAGGAGUAUCUCAAAAGGAGCUUCCCAGUCACAGUUAAUAACUGCAUGAUGGACGUUAAGACACAGUGAGCAGGAAUAAGUGUGUGCAGAUGCUAAGUUAAGAAUGGCCGUAAUUAGUCUGCAGUAGAGUCAAGUGUCUGAAAUCUGAAGGUUAUUUAGUUAGAAACACUUUGAUUGUAAAGAUUGGGCCUUUUGUGUCUUGAGUGCCAAUCUGGCUGUUGUUAAAGGUCAGAGGGAAACUCUAGAAACACGUCACUUGUUGUUUGGAUUAUACUGAUCACUCAAAAUCACAAAAAUCUGUCGCAGUAGUGACUGCCAAAGCACAAGCCCUCCUACUAAGACUGGGAUUUGAUUUCCUUUGGUUUCUUCCUCCUUGAAGUGUUGGGUAAACAAAGAGUUGCAAAACAGGGGCAUCAAACAUGAAACAAUGGAACAACAUUCAAACUUGAAUGCCUGUAUUUAAAAAAAAAACAAAAAAAAAACAGUGUUUUUCCUGCCCCCUGUAUGUUCUUUUAUUAGACAUUUUAACAAAUUUUAUGAUGCUUUCAGCUACUGUAUAACAUACUUAACCUUGUUUAAUUUUAUUCAGCAAAUUUAUACAUCAAAAAGCAGCUCAAAAAGUUGUUGUUCACAGGUUCCAUAUGGGCUUGUGGCUACCUGAAUAUUUGAAGUUUGAAGUUUUCUUCAGUAACUUAAGUUGGACCAGGAAUGUUGGGAAAUAACUAAACGUAAACUAAAAGUAAUAAUGCUAGUAACUUAACUACAUUUUCAG
ensembl:lncRNA